UUUACCGAAAAACUGAAUAUUUUGUAAGGGUUAACACAUAGAAUUUGAGAAAAAUACGACAAUAUUGUUUUAAUGCAUAGUUGUAUAAUGAACUAACAUAUGAUGAUGGCCAGAGAGGUUUGGAACAUUUGUUGUCUCAGUUUCUCUAUAAUUGUGAUUUUAUUGUCGAUUGUCAACUGAUUUAUGGAAAAUAUGUACCUUGAAAGAGAGUUUAGACUACAUUAAUACAAAUGUGGAAUGUGGUUAGAAGUUUUAAAAUAACAUUAAAGAUUAUAGGAUUCAGUACAUUAUCCAUUUACUUAAAAACUGAAUAUGUUGUUGGGGUGUUAACACAUAGAUUUUGAGAAAAAAUCUACAAAAUAAAAAUAUUAUUUUAAUGCAUAGUUGUAUCAUGAACUAACAUAUGAUGGUGGUCAGAGAGGUUUGGAACCUUUGUUGUUUCUGCUUUUCUAGAAUACUGAUUUUAUUGUGGUUUGUCAACUGAUUUAGGGAGCAUA
rnacentral:lncRNA from 1 species